UCCUACGGGGGGCAGCAGUGGGGAAUAUUGCACAAUGGGGGAAACCCUGAUGCAGCGACGCCGCGUGAGUGAAGAAGUAAUUCGUUAUGUAAAGCUCUAUCAGCAGGGAAGAAAAUGACGGUACCUGAGUAAGAAGCCCCGGCUAACUACGUGCCAGCAGCCGCGGUAAUACGUAUGGUGCAAGCGUUAUCCGGAUUUACUGGGUGUAAAGGGAGCGCAGGCGGCGCGUUAAGCCUGGUGUGAAAGCCCGCGGCCCAACCGCGGGACUGCAUUGGGAACUGGCGCGCUGGAGUGCCGGAGGGGUG
rnacentral:rRNA from 1 species